CACCUGGGCAGACUUUGUGGGAGAAAACAGUAAAAUAGGAGCUCCUUAAAAGCUUUUAAGAGUGGCGAUAAGUUGGAAAUGUCCCAGCAGCGUAUUCGGUCUGUUCCCCACAAAAAAAUCGACCUGGAAAGUAGAGGAAUAUCGAUCUCACUGACCCAACCAACACCUGAUGCUAAAAGCCGGGAUGAAGGCGUUAGCAUGUCGCUAUCGCCAGAGAGCUAAGCUAGCUUAAUUAAUGAAGUUGGGACACGAGUUGGGAACUUUGGCCCAAAGAAAGAAAUUUCUCGGAUGAAGAAAAGGGCUUAUCCUGGUUGGUGGCCACUAUGGAUGCAUUUGUUGGUGCUUGAUGGGGAGUUAACGUGAUAACCUUAUUAUAAUUACGAACUCACCAAGAGUCACUGACGAGAAGAAUGGCGCACUUUUACAAGCAAGACGGCGCACAGUUGAAACAAGAAGAAACAUGAUAACAUGACCAGAGUGCAAGGAUUCACCUGGCCUGAGGGAGCCACGUUUCAACUUAAAGAUGGUUCAGGAUGGAGGUCACUGUGAGAGCCACAAGGACCGAGGAGGAAACCAUGUUAGAAGAGGACAAGGACCAAGUGGAAAGAACUUACUCCACCGGGAGCGCCACAAGCUAUAGCCAGCAGAGCCUAUAGCAGGGAGAAAGGAGACGCAGAGCAUGCCAAGCAGAUCCUGCACACUUAAAGAAAGAAAUCAGCUCGAGAUCACCAGCAUAACCCACAGACCCCCCAUCCUCUCCAAAAAAGACAACAACAACAACAAAUAAAGACAAAACACACGUGUUCACAGAAGUAAUGUAUGCACCGCGUUCCCGCAUAUGAAUCUUUAUGCGAAAUGCACUUCAGUUUUUAUUACGCUUAACAAACGUGUUAGUCAGCUGAUCGCACAGUCUGCAUUCUGUUGUAUAGAUUCACCUCAUAAGAUCAGUGCUGCUGGUUUAUCUUUUAUGUGAAUCAUCAGUUAGUGGGUAGUUUUUUUUUUGUUGUUGUUUUGCUUGGAACCUGUAGCCUUUAGCCUCGUUUUUUUUUUUUUUUUUUUUGCAUCUUUGCAAUGCUGAGUUAGCAUGGUAUCAUGUAUGUAGCUCAGGGCUACCGCUGACCUUUCAGGGGCCCUAGGCAUAAAUUUCAUUACAGUAAUUUUGUUACUCCGAACUCAUAGGAAAGUCAGUUCCUUUUAUUAUCACCACUGAUCAGUUUCUCUCUCUCUUAAUUAUAUAGGCUACAUGAAUAAACAUGUGUGACCAAAACUAAAUCAAUGCUCAUUACAUCACACGUGGAUUAAAAAAUAUGUGUGAUUUUAAGCUACAGAUGUGAAAUUGACCUGACUUGACACUGUAGCAGCAGAGCUGUGGAUAUUUACAUUCUGACACAAAGCAGGGUUAGCUGAACACUUACACAAAUGUACUAACAUAAGAGCAGGCUGACUUUUUCCUGCGUUUUAACGCGAUGUUGCCAGCACUGAGUAACAGUUCACCUUUUGGCUUUGCUGGACAUUGUCCUAUGAGAAUAUGACAAAAAUGAACUUGUCAGGUUAAAUGUUAUUUUUAUUUAGAUUUUGUCACUUUGAUUUUAUUUAUUUAUCUCUGGUGGUGCAGAAAAUCUGCAUUAAUGCCAAUAAAAACAAUUUGCGAAAAUUUCUGCCACAUGUACAUGGUCUUGUUUUAGAUAAACACUCACUAAAAUAAUGACAAAAUAAAACUCCAAAAGAGAAACUUGGAAUCUGACAAACUCAAGGCAGAUACUAUCAAACAGCAUUGAACACUGACCAGCAAAGGCUGCCCUCAGGCUAUAAUUUGCAGAAGUUUUACCUGCUGCUGGCUGAGACUGAAGACAAAGCUUAGUAAGUGUGUGUGCC